GCAGCCUCAAAGGACAAACCUCCACCCAAGCAAAAAAUCCUCGUGGUAGCCUCCCAGACAAGUGACACGAGCUCUAGAGUCUCCAACCUGGGUGUGUUACAGCUGUCCAAGAUUUUGAACAAGUGGAUCUCUGUGAGCUCCUGUUUCUUCAUCUGUGAAUUGGAAACUAUAUCAGUCAAGACAGGUUAACUUAUGUCGCAGUCACAAACAAUUCCACAAUCUCAAUGACUUGUAAUAUUGAAUGCUUGUUUCUGAUACAUGCCUGUGUUCACUGUGGUUUUUUGGGUCCACUGUGGUUUGGCUCUGCUCCAUGUCAUCUCAGGGACCCAGGCUGAUGAAGCAGCCACCUUCUGGAGCUGGGCUGGUCAUUGAAGCAGAAGGAAGGAGACAGUGGUGAAGCGUGCAGGAGCUAUGAAAUGCAUUGGCCCGGACUUCGGAUCACAACUCACCAGCAAGAACUAGUCGAAUGAUCCCAGCCAUUACCAGGAAGCAAGGAGAUUAACCCUACCGUGUGCAAGAACUGAACAGUCAGAAGUAUUUGGGACCUCUGCAUCAAUUCCAGCUGUUUACAGCUGCAGAUACAGAAAGGGUAGUGGACUCGCCAGGCUUUACCCGAUGAACCAGUAGCUGAACACCCACGUCUCCAGGGCUCCAAAUUCUGAGCCCCGCAUCCCUCACUUGUUGGGGUGUAGGAGAAGGGGCUUUGCAUUCCCAGGGUUCUUGCAGCUGGGCAGCCCCUGGCAAGACAGAGAUGGGUGCCAUUCAUCCGACAAGCAUGAUGCCCUGUGCCGGCUCUCCAUAGACACGUGCACAAAAUCACAGCACAAGACUGGGGCCGAAAUGGGGAAAGCUGCUGGUGGAGUCAGGGAAGGCUUCCUGGAGGAGGUGGCAACUAGAGAGUGAUCAGGUUCUCUCCCUGGACCUAAGUCUUACUUGAAACACAACUUUCGGCUUGUUCAGCCUCCUCUCCCACCACUUACGCACUGGUAUUCUGUGCCGCGACCACGUGACACCCCUCACAAUCCUCAAAAAGGACUGGGUCCUCCCUAACCUCCACGGCUUUGCACUUGCCGGCUCCUCUUCUCUUUACAGGGAAUACUCUUAUUCAGCCUUCAAAACCCACAUCGGCAGUCAUAUCCUCCUU